GGCGCUAUCUCAAAUAGCUCAUUAGUGUGACUACAUGUUCUAUGGUCAACUUCCUGUUCACAUGUGGUCAAGGUUACUAAUCUGAGUGAGGUCAGAAGACAUGCCUACCAGUUUGCUGUGGCACACCAGCUGAAGUUCGCGCCAAUGUGGGCAGAAAAGGAAAAGGCCAGCUCGGAGUGGUUUACAGGCUUCUUAAAGCGGCACCCAACGCUGUCACUGAGAAAGCCAGAGGCAACUAGCCUUGCCAGGGCAACAUGGGUUGGGAGAAGGAUGGACGCAAUGGAAGAAAGCCAAUGUUUCCCAUAGAAUUAUGGAACUGCUAAGAUGCUGUCCUGCAAGACUUGGCGAAGACCAACAACAGAGUGGAGGACUGGAAUGGAACAUUUUUGGCAAAUCUAGGUGCUACCCACCCCCACCAUUUGGAAGUUCAUCAAGGCAUUGCAAUGACAGCAGCAAAGAAGUGAAAUGAGAAUGGAGCAGCAACUUGCUGGCAUUUCUCCACCACAGCAAAGACCCCGCUACCGCAAGCAACAGAAGGAUCUGAAGUCACUGGUUCAGGGGUACACCACAACUGAACGGUUGGAGUCUUAAAAGGCACUGCAUGGUCAAUCUGACUUCUGCAUUGGCUGUGCAGCAUUUACGGGGAUACAGCCUCUGCAGAAGGCAGAGCAUUCAUACGUCUUGCGCUUAUCAGAGCAGCGCAGAGCUGUUGUCAAGGAAGUGAGUUUGUGUUUAUACAGGCCUCACCUACCAUCAAUCAAUCAUCUCAAUGCAGCGCUAUAUGAAGCCCUCCGCAUUGUUACAAGAUUUGUGGGGUGUACAGCAUGCCCCCGGAUGCAUCAAAUCAUCCAUACAGCGCUUCUGACCACAUUUUCAGAUCAAUCAUAAAUUGGCUUUGACCCUGCAUACAAUCUCAAGUUGCAGUUGUGAAUAAUCCAAAAUCCAUCUGAGAAAAAUGAGCACCUAACCUACUUGAACACUUCAACCCUUUCAAUGACUCAAAAAUCCUUAUUAAACCAGAACAUUAAGCACAUUCUUGGAAAAUGUGUUCCUGAACUUAUUUUUGUUUUCAUGGCACUGCAUUGUCAUGUAGCCUACUCUUAUUUUUGUUGUAUUUUUUGGUUAAUUAAAAAUAAAUGUUUUAGGCAUA